rnacentral:misc_RNA from 1 species
ACAAAUCAAACCAACAAGGUUGGUCAUGGAUGUUGAGGGUUGCUGGGUUUCAUAAUCAGCUCCCUUUAAAUAUAUUAGCUCAGAAUGAUGAGCCAUUUUAGCUUAGGCUGAUAUAAAUUGAAUGCUUUUGCUGAAGUGUUGCUUAUCUGAGCUUAUAAUUGUCUUUGUAAUGAGACUGUCUCUUUUGACAAAAUCUUGA